ACUCUAAGCGGUGGAUCACUCGGCUCAUGGGUCGAUGAAGAACGCAGCAAACUGUGCGUCAUCGUGUGAACUGCAGGACACAUGAACAUCGACAUUUUGAACGCAUAUCGCAGUCCAUGCUGUUAUGUACUUUAAUUAAUUUUAUAGUGCUGCUUGGACUACAUAUGGUUGAGGGUUGUAAGACUAUGCUAAUUAAGUUGCUUAUAAAUUUUUAUAAGCAUAUGGUAUAUUAUUGGAUAAAUAUAAUAAUUUUUAUUCAUAAUAUUAAAAAAUAAAUGAAAAACAUUAUCUCACAUUUGAAUGUGAAAAACGAAGAGAAAUAUUUUCUUUUUCAAUCAAAUAAUACUGAGAAAUGUCUAGCAUAAAAAAUUGAAAUAUUUUUCAUCUAGAAUUGUCUCUUAUUAAUGAUUCGGAAAUAGAAAAAUCUUGGUUAUGUUAUUAUUCUUCGUUGGUUCGUUAAAAAUGGAUAAAUAAAAACUUUGCAUACAAGAAUUAAUAAAAAUGUUAUAACGAAUUUAAUUAAAUGUUUUAUCAUUAUAUAUAAAGAAUUUAUGGCAAGAUAAAGUUAUAUACAACCUCAACUCAUAUGGGACUACCCCCUGAAUUUAAGCAUAUUAAUUAGGGGAGGAAAAGAAACUAACAAGGAUUUUCUUAGUAGCGGCGAGCGAAAAGAAAACAGUUCAGCACUAAGUCACUUUGUCUAUAUGGCAAAUGUGAGAUGCAGUGUAUGGAGCGUCAAUAUUCUAGUAUGAGAAAUUAACGAUUUAAGUCCUUCUUAAAUGAGGCCAUUUACCCAUAGAGGGUGCCAGGCCCGUAUAACGUUAAUGAUUACUAGAUGAUGUUUCCAAAGAGUCGUGUUGCUUGAUAGUGCAGCACUAAGUGGGUGGUAAACUCCAUCUAAAACUAAAUAUAACCAUGAGACCGAUAGUAAACAAGUACCGUGAGGGAAAGUUGAAAAGAACUCUGAAUAGAGAGUUAAACAGUACGUGAAACUGCUUAGAGGUUAAGCCCGAUGAACCUGAAUAUCCGUUAUGGAAAAUUCAUCAUUAAAAUUGUAAUAUUUAAAUAAUAUUAUGAGAAUAGUGUGCAUUUUUUCCAUAUAAGGACAUUGUAAUCUAUUAGCAUAUACCAAAUUUAUCAUAAAAUAUAACUUAUAGUUUAUUCCAAUUAAAUUGCUUGCAUUUUAACACAGAAUAAAUGUUAUUAAUUUGAUAAAGUGCUGAUAGAUUUAUAUGAUUACAGUGCGUUAAUUUUUCGGAAUUAUAUAAUGGCAUAAUUAUCAUUGAUUUUUGUGUUUAUUAUAUGCACUUGUAUGAUUAACAAUGCGAAAGAUUCAGGAUACCUUCGGGACCCGUCUUGAAACACGGACCAAGGAGUCUAACAUAUGUGCAAGUUAUUGGGAUAUAAACCUAAUAGCGUAAUUAACUUGACUAAUAAUGGGAUUAGUUUUUUAGCUAUUUAUAGCUAAUUAACACAAUCCCGGGGCGUUCUAUAUAGUUAUGUAUAAUGUAUAUUUAUAUUAUUUAUGCCUCUAACUGGAACGUACCUUGAGCAUAUAUGCUGUGACCCGAAAGAUGGUGAACUAUACUUGAUCAGGUUGAAGUCAGGGGAAACCCUGAUGGAAGACCGAAACAGUUCUGACGUGCAAAUCGAUUGUCAGAAUUGAGUAUAGGGGCGAAAGACCAAUCGAACCAUCUAGUAGCUGGUUCCUUCCGAAGUUUCCCUCAGGAUAGCUGGUGCAUUUUAAUAUUAUAUAAAAUAAUCUUAUCUGGUAAAGCGAAUGAUUAGAGGCCUUAGGGUCGAAACGAUCUUAACCUAUUCUCAAACUUUAAAUGGGUAAGAACCUUAACUUUCUUGAUAUGAAGUUCAAGGUUAUGAUAUAAUGUGCCCAGUGGGCCACUUUUGGUAAGCAGAACUGGCGCUGUGGGAUGAACCAAACGUAAUGUUACGGUGCCCAAAUUAACAACUCAUGCAGAUACCAUGAAAGGCGUUGGUUGCUUAAAACAGCAGGACGGUGAUCAUGGAAGUCGAAAUCCGCUAAGGAGUGUGUAACAACUCACCUGCCGAAGCAACUAGCCCUUAAAAUGGAUGGCGCUUAAGUUGUAUACCUAUACAUUACCGCUAAAGUAGAUGAUUUAUAUUACUUGUGAUAUAAAUUUUGAAACUUUAGUGAGUAGGAAGGUACAAUGGUAUGCGUAGAAGUGUUUGGCGUAAGCCUGCAUGGAGCUGCCAUUGGUACAGAUCUUGGUGGUAGUAGCAAAUAAUCGAAUGAGACCUUGGAGGACUGAAGUGGAGAAGGGUUUCGUGUGAACAGUGGUUGAUCACGAGUUAGUCGGUCCUAAGUUCAAGGCGAAAGCCGAAAAUUUUCAAGUAAAACAAAAAUGCCUAACUAUAUAAACAAAGCGAAUUAUAAUACACUUGAAUAAUUUUGAACGAAAGGGAAUACGGUUCCAAUUCCGUAACCUGUUGAGUAUCCGUUUGUUAUUAAAUAUGGGCCUCGUGCUCAUCCUGGCAACAGGAACGACCAUAAAGAAGCCGUCGAGAGAUAUCGGAAGAGUUUUCUUUUCUGUUUUAUAGCCGUACUACCAUGGAAGUCUUUCGCAGAGAGAUAUGGUAGAUGGGCUAGAAGAGCAUGACAUAUACUGUUGUGUCGAUAUUUUCUCCUCGGACCUUGAAAAUUUAUGGUGGGGACACGCAAACUUCUCAACAGGCCGUACCAAUAUCCGCAGCUGGUCUCCAAGGUGAAGAGUCUCUAGUCGAUAGAAUAAUGUAGGUAAGGGAAGUCGGCAAAUUAGAUCCGUAACUUCGGGAUAAGGAUUGGCUCUGAAGAUUGAGAUAGUCGGGCUUGAUUGGGAAACAAUAACAUGGUUUAUGUGCUCGUUCUGGGUAAAUAGAGUUUCUAGCAUUUAUGUUAGUUACUUGUUCCCCGGAUAGUUUAGUUACGUAGCCAAUUGUGGAACUUUCUUGCUAAAAUUUUUAAGAAUACUAUUUGGGUUAAACCAAUUAGUUCUUAUUAAUUAUAACGAUUAUCAAUUAACAAUCAAUUCAGAACUGGCACGGACUUGGGGAAUCCGACUGUCUAAUUAAAACAAAGCAUUGUGAUGGCCCUAGCGGGUGUUGACACAAUGUGAUUUCUGCCCAGUGCUCUGAAUGUCAAAGUGAAGAAAUUCAAGUAAGCGCGGGUCAACGGCGGGAGUAACUAUGACUCUCUUAAGGUAGCCAAAUGCCUCGUCAUCUAAUUAGUGACGCGCAUGAAUGGAUUAACGAGAUUCCUACUGUCCCUAUCUACUAUCUAGCGAAACCACAGCCAAGGGAACGGGCUUGGAAUAAUUAGCGGGGAAAGAAGACCCUUUUGAGCUUGACUCUAAUCUGGCAGUGU
rnacentral:rRNA from 1 species